GACGAACGCUGGCGGCGUGCCUAAUACAUGUAAGUUGAGCGAUGAAGAUUGGUGCUUGCCCCAAUUUGAAGAGCAGCGAACGGGUGAGUAACGCGUGGGGAAUCUGCCUUUGAGCGGGGGACAACAUUUGGAAACGAAUGCUAAUACCGCAUAACAACUUUAAACAUAAGUUUUAAGUUUGAAAGAUGCAAUUGCAUCACUCAAAGAUGAUCCCGCGUUGUAUUAGCUAGUUGGUGAGGUAAAGGCUCACCAAGGCGAUGAUACAUAGCCGACCUGAGAGGGUGAUCGGCCACAUUGGGACUGAGACACGGCCCAAACUCCUACGGGAGGCAGCAGUAGGGAAUCUUCGGCAAUGGACGAAAGUCUGACCGAGCAACGCCGCGUGAGUGAAGAAGGUUUUCGGAUCGUAAAACUCUGUUGGUAGAGAAGAACGUUGGUGAGAGUGGAAAGCUCAUCAAGUGACGGUAACUACCCAGAAAGGGACGGCUAACUACGUG
rnacentral:rRNA from 1 species